rnacentral:rRNA from 1 species
GACGAACGCUGGCGGCGUGCUUAACACAUGCAAGUCGAACGAAGUGGCGAACGGGUGAGUAAUACGUGGGUGACCUGCCCUGCACUUCGGGAUAAGCCUGGGAAACUGGGUCUAAUACCGGAUAGUGUGGGAUGGGCCCGCGGCCUAUCAGCUUGUUGGUGGGGUAAUGGCCUACCAAGGCGGCGACGGGUAGCCGGCCUGAGAGGGUGGACGGCCACAUUGGGACUGAGACACGGCCCAGACUCCUACGGGAGGCAGCAGUGGGGAAUAUUGCGCAAUGGGCGGAAGCCUGAUGCAGCGACGCCGCGUGGGGGAUGACGGCCUUCGGGUUGUAAACUCCUUUCACCAUCGACGCGGUAGAUGGAGAAGAAGCACCGGCUAACUACGUGCCAGCAGCCGCGGUAAUAC